CCCUAUGGGGUGCACCAGGACGCGCUUCAGCAUCUCGAUGUUGUUCCUGAAUUCCCUCGGAUAUCUCAGAUUGACCGGGUAUCGCCCCCGUCCUUCUAUGGUUACGGUCAGAUUCGUUCCGCCUAUGGCGGACUCUAUAACUUCCUGAACAUCAUCGACCGACAGCCCGUAACGCGCCGCGGCCUUCCUUUUGAUCUCGAAAUCCAGAAAGUAUCCGGUUGUAAUCCUUUCCGCAUAUACGCUCCGCGUGCCUUUCACAUCCUUGAGCCGGGCCUCGAUCUCAUUGCCGAUUUUUUGAAUCUCGUCGAUGUCCGGCCCCAGGAUCUUUAUUCCCACCGGUGUGCGAAUGCCCGUGGACAGCAUGUCGAUCCGUGCCUUGAUGGGCAUCGUGAAGGAAUUGGCGGGGGGGC
rnacentral:rRNA from 1 species